CUAAAAGAUUAGCAUGGCCCCUGUGCAAGGAUGACAUGCAAAUUUGUGAAGCAUUCCAUAUUUUU
rnacentral:snRNA from 14 species